rnacentral:rRNA from 1 species
GACGUAGGGGGCCAGCGUUGCUCGGAAUUACUGGGCGUAAAGCGCACGUAGGCGGAUCGUUAAGUCGGGGGUGAAAUCCUGGAGCUCAACUCCAGAACUGCCUUCGAUACUGGCGAUCUUGAGUCCGGAGGAGGUGAGUGGAACUCCUAGUGUAGAGGUGGAAUUCGUAGAUAUUAGGAAGAACACCAGUGGCGAAGGCGGCUCACUGGUCCGGUACUGACGCUGAGGUGCGAAGGCGUGGGGAGCAAACAGG